rnacentral:misc_RNA from 1 species
CACUUUCGACCAUUGCGAGGGAUCAGUAGAGUGUACGAACUAAAUUAAUUGGAACAAUCGAGCCAUGCAGAAAAGCGAAGAUUCUCCUUAGUCGAGUAAAAUCAGGCGACAGCAAGAGCAACAACUUCGAAACAACUUGCGUGAGACGGUAACACAAUCCCAAUUGCACUAAUAAGGACUUUUAAAGGGCAUGAUUUACGUAAGGUUUAGUUUGAUUUCAACAAGCUUUCGCUUUCAAUUUACAACAUGGCGGAAGCUCCAAGAAGUCGGCUGCCUUCGGGUUACGACGAGAACUCUGUGAGUGCAGAUGAAGAUGAGAAUCUCUGUUUAAUAUGUCAUUUAUUGCUUAAGGAGCCUGUUUUGACUAGUUGCGGUCACGGGUUUUGUAAAGAAUGCCCCGAGGAACAUUCUAGAAGGCAGGGAGCUCAAGACCAACCUUUAACUUGUCCUGCCGACAGAGAGGGUCUGAACCGAGACCGGGAUGUCUUCCCUGACAAAGCAACAGAAAGGAACAUUCUUUCUUUUGCCAUCAAAUGUCCCAGUAAAGGUUGCGACUGGACUGGAGAACUAAGAAGUAAAGAGGUUCACCUGGCACCUUGUCUUUUCAAAUUCGUCUCCUGUACCAACGAAAACUGUCGUGUGACUUUGCAAAGAAGAGAUCUCGAGGAACACGUAACCACCAUGUGCCAGUGGAGGAUCCUUGAAUGUGAUCACUGGCAGUGAGCCACACCCAGAGUGUAAGAUGCAGAUCACAUUGGACAGUGCAGCAAGUUCCCAGUAUCUUGUCCUAACAGUUGUGGGGCUUUGAUUCCAAGGGAAAUGGUAACACGUUCAAUUUGGCCUUUUUGACUGACGUCCUCGUGUUAAUCGAGCUUAGUUGUCAAAGUUUUAGGCCUGCAAAGUGAAGUUUUAGUUGAAACAGUCCCAAUUUGUAAUUCACUCGAUGACGCCAGUGCCGGCCAGAAUUGUGUACAACUGUAUGCGGAAUAAAGAAAAAUGUUGUCUACUAUUUAUCAGGUAACCCGCGCCUGCUAGUGCAGUCGCUGCGAAAUUUCUAGGGGACAUUUGUACGACGUUGCUAACCUGUUAGGGAGCUUAAGCAAUGACGACCACGAUACGUCACCAAGAUUGAUCGCGGCGCAUAGUAAAAGUGGGGUUUUAUAGUAUGUGUAAUACAGCGAGCAGUCCCAGUCGAUUCUGUGGUUUGUCAGGUGAUAUUGUUCAGCAAUGUGACAUAUUGUUGAUAUUAGAGAUUUAAUACGAUCAUUUCUAUAAAACGAACAUGACGAAGAGACUAUGUUUUAAGCAGGGUUUGAUUUUUAAGCGAUGACGUCAGAAAUUGUGAUCGGUUUAUGCUGGCACACGAUAUUCCUUUGAAUGGGCACCGCAUAUUUGCGCUUAUGUAGCGCACGAUUCACCCCCCUGUGGAAGGGCAAUACACUCCGAGAGGUAGUAAAUAAGCACUGUGUGAGCAUUAUAUGAGCACUGAGACAUCUGAACUAAACUUAUGUGAGUGGGACACGCGAUAGGUCAAGGGUUUACAUUAAAUUUACGUAUUGGUGAGCGUUGUUUAGGGCUGAACUAAACAUAUCUGUGGGCUGAAAUAGUGGUGAAAUUGAACUAGAAUUGAAGAGGGCAUUGAAGAAGUUCGCAGUGAAAGCAGCUGAGAUAGCGGAAGGCAAUGGAAAAUAGUGUUACGAAAAGAAGAGUGAUUGUGAUUAAACAAUAGAUAAUGGUUUUGUCAGUGGUAGAUCAAUGGAAGGCUCAUUAAAAACAGGUAUAAGGUUAAAACAACAAAUUAAUUUCCGGUCAGGUAAUUAGCGUUGCCAAAUGUCUGUAUUUCAAGAUAUGGUGUUGCUUUCAGAGAGAAACAAUGAAAUACGAUUUGUUGUUUUCAAGUUUAUCAUUUGCGGCUGUCUUUUGCAGUUUGUAGGAUCCGCGGAGUGUCUUUAAUUUCAGCGUUUAAAGGAAGAUUUUUAUUGUGGAUUGUGCUUUAUGCAAUAUCCGAUAAUUUUGCGCUCACCGGCAAACUGAUAUUACGAACCCAUCGUCUAUACAUAAAACUUUAGAUCUACAAGCAAGUUGCACACGCGAUAGGUCAAGGGUCAACAUUAAAUUUACGUAUUGGUGAGCACUGUUUAGCCCGGACUUUUUGCUGUCUUGAGAUGAAUUCAAUUAAAUGAGCACUGUCACAGCAGUGUAUGAGCACUGAAAUAUCUGACCUUAUCUGUGAAACGUGAAAUAAACUGUAUUGGUGAAAGUCUGGAUCCGCCACUGGAUUUCUCUUGGGGACAUCUAUCACAAUAUUCUUUUACAUUGUUAUAUUGCAUAAAAAUUUGUAAGCAUCACUGCCGGUCAUUUCGAAAAGUAAACAAAAGGGAGAAAGGUGAAUUGCAUUAUUCAGUUCAAAGAGGAACAAUUGAAGAAAGGGAACAAGUAAGCUUGCGAUGCGAGC